rnacentral:rRNA from 1 species
UACGUAGGAGGCAAGCGUUGUCCGGAAUCAUUGGGCGUAAAGAGCGCGUAGGCGGUCCGAUAAGUCGGUUGUGAAAACUGGGGGCUCAACCCUCAGGGGCCGACCGAUACUGUCGGGCUAGAGUCCGGAAGAGGCGAGUGGAAUUCCUGGUGUAGCGGUGAAAUGCGCAGAUAUCAGGAAGAACACCCGUGGCGAAGGCGGUUCUCUGGGACGGUACUGACGCUGAGACGCGAAAGCGUGGGGAGCGAACAGG